rnacentral:rRNA from 1 species
UACGAAGGGGGCUAGCGCUGCUCGGAAUCACUGGGCGUAAAGCGCACGUAGGCGGACUCUUAAGUCAGGGGUGAAAUCCUGGAGCUCAACUCCAGAACUGCCUUUGAUACUGAAGAUCUUGAGUUCGGGAGAGGUGAGUGGAACUGCGAGUGUAGAGGUGAAAUUCGUAGAUAUUCGCAAGAACACCAGUGGCGAAGGCGGCUCACUGGCCCGAUACUGACGCUGAGGCACGAAAGCGUGGGGAGCAAACAGG